rnacentral:rRNA from 1 species
AUCUGAACCUUCGGGGAACGAUAACGGCGUCGAGCGGCGGACGGGUGAGUAAUGCCUAGGAAAUUGCCUUGAUGUGGGGGAUAACCAUUGGAAACGAUGGCUAAUACCGCAUAAUGCCUACGGGCCAAAGAGAGGGACCUUCGGGCCUCUCGCGUCAAGAUAUGCCUAGGUGGGAUUAGCUAGUUGGUGAGGUAAUGGCUCACCAAGGCGACGAUCCCUAGCUGGUCUGAGAGGAUGAUCAGCCACACUGGAACUGAGACACGGUCCAGACUCCUACGGGAGGCAGCAGUGGGGAAUAUUGCACAAUGGGCGAAAGCCUGAUGCAGCCAUGCCGCGUGUAUGAAGAAGGCCUUCGGGUUGUAAAGUACUUUCAGUUGUGAGGAAGGGGGUGUCGUUAAUAGCGGCAUCUCUUGACGUUAGCAACAGAAGAAGCACCGGCUAACUCCGUGCCAGCAGCCGCGGUAAUACGGAGGGUGCGAGCGUUAAUCGGAAUUACUGGGCGUAAAGCGCAUGCAGGUGGUUCAUUAAGUCAGAUGUGAAAGCCCGGGGCUCAACCUCGGAACUGCAUUUGAAACUGGUGAACUAGAGUACUGUAGAGGGGGGUAGAAUUUC